UUAGCUCUUUCUGCCAGUAGUUCACAGGAACUAAAAUUACUUUCUCUCACUAGUAGGAACUCGGAAAAAUGAUCCCUACUCCUGUCACUUUGCUCCAUCACAGCUAAGGAGGAAGGAGUGACAACAUACCAGAAAAGAGAUGAUCCAAAAUUCAUAAAAGCAUUUCAAAUUCACAAGAGCAGUGAAAGCAGAGGCCACCUCCGCUUGUGCCUCGAGGAUCACUUGUUUCAUAUUGGUGCAGCCGCUUAGCUUCGGAAUCUUGGACGAUGUAAGUCGAAGGACCGACGAGACGACAGUGAGAAAUCGUCAGCUGUCGAAGGCGACGAAGCAGAUCUUCCGGAAUGACUUCUUUCCAUUUGAUAUCGACGAGUGUUUCAGAUUGGACAGUUGGAUCGUUUUCUAACAUCUCAAGACUCCAUUUGCGGCGCCGAUGACUCUGCUCCUCCUGGAUUUCAUCGUCGUCGGUGUGCCCCAACUCCGACGGCAGUUAAAUUAAAAAUUAUCUAAUGAAGAACAUAAAACUCUUAAACAUCUUUAAAAAAGAUAUAUCUUUUUAUAUUCAUUGAUUUUUUUUCUUAACAUUAAUUAAUUAAUAUGAAUAAUAUAUUACUUUAUUUAAAUUAUUAACUUCCUUAUUUAUGUAGUAUGAUUAAGGAAAUGAUUAAAAUUGAUUUCCUUAAUUAUAUGGAUAUGUUAGAAAAUUUUCUAAUUAAUUAAAUUAUUAAUUGAUUUAUUUCUAAUGAGUGAUGUAACUUUUAGGAAGUAAAAAGUUUAUAUUUUAUUUUUGUGUUUUAACCAUAAGAAAUAAAUAUUAUAUUUUUAUCUUUGUGUGUGAAAGUAAAAUAAAAUUAAAUCAUUACUAACGGAGAGCUCAUCUUGUAGGCUCCUCCUCUUUUAUUUCUCUUGUUUUGAAAUAUUUAAUAUUAUGAUUAUUAUAAUUUUAUGAUAUAUAAUAAUAUUUUUAUUUUUUAAUUUUUAUGAUUAAUAAAUAAUGAUAAUUGAUUUAUGAUGUUUGAAUGAUUAUUUUACUUAUAAUGGUCUCUUAAGCUUAAGUGAAUUUUAAAAUUGAUUUAAUUGUUAAAAAUUUUAUUUUUGAAUUAACAUAAUAAUUUUAAUUUUUAAUUAGAUCUAUAUGUGUUUUAAGAAUUAUGUGUGAAUUUCUAUAAUUUAAUUAGUUUUAAAUUUAAGAUCAUGAAUUUAAAUUUUUUAAUUCAUAGGUUUAAAUUACUCUAUAAUAAUUUAAAAUAUUAAAAUAUAAUUUAAUAAAAUGAGUCUGAGUAGGUCUGACGUAAGUCAUGUUGAUUUGUUAAAUUGGGUCGACCCGACCCUUGUGGUCAUGUAUGACCCAACUUAUCUGACUAUACAUGAAUUAGCUUACGUAGUCAUGUACACCAAAUUCAUGUGGUUAGGCAUGAUCUAGCCCAUGUAGCCAUGUAUGAUCUAGCCCAUAUGACUCAAAUUUAUAUGGCCAAGCAUGAUAACCUAGCUCAUUUAGUUAUGUAUAACAUAGCAUAUGUGACGAAGCAUGACCCAACCCAUAUAGCCAUGUCUGACUCAACUAAUAUGGUCAGGCAUGACCUAGCCCAUGUAGCCACGACUCAACCUAUAUAGUCAAAUACGACUCAACUCAUGUGAUUAUGUAGGACCCAACUCAUAUGAUAAAAUAUGACAACUCAUGUGGCCAAGCAUAACCCAACUCAUAUGAUCAUGUAUAACCCAACCCAUAUGGUAAUAUAUGACUCAACCCAUAUGACCAAGCAUAAUCCAACUUAUGUGGCCAAGUACGACUCAAUUGAUGUGAUCGGAUAUAACCCAAACUCAUGUGUCGAUGUAUGACCUAACCCGUGAACUAAGCGUAACCUAAUUUAGUGGUAAGGCUCAGCUCAGUCCACGAAGUUCAGCCUACCCAACUAUGCGAUUGGUGUUAGGCACAUUAUCGUUCCUCUAUACAUCCCAUUGUACCUCAACCUAACAUAUUAUUUGGGAUAGGCAUGUGCAGCGCACAUGACUCAUUUAAGACUCAUAUGAGUUGAUUUGGUUUGACUUAGCACUAUACAACAUAGUCUAAUUUCCUAUCUUAUUAUUGGUUUAAGCUCGUUAAUUGACUGAAUCAUAAUAUUUUAUUGAUUCAAACAGAUUUUGGGUGAUUUUAGACCAACUUGACUAGUUCAAAACUACUUGCCCUAAUCGAAAUCAAUCAAAUCUAAAUUGACCAGUCUAUGGUAAUUCAAUAUCAGUCCUAUAAGGAUUUGAUAUUGGUUUCGUUAGCUCCUAAUUGAAUAGAAUUUUGUUCAAGUUAAUUGAGCUAUUCCAAUUAGGUUUUGGUUGAUUGAGAAUUAAGUCAUUGAUUUCUUAUGUUUUUAUGAUUUGAUGAAUUUAAAAAUUUUAUUUGAAAGUAUUAUUUGAAAAUGAUUAUUAGUUUUUAACUUUUUAAGUUUAUGAUAUUAAUAUGAUUGUUACAUGUAGUAUAUGUAACUAUGUUAGUGGUCUACAUUACAAGGGUAACCUAUGAAAGGAGUUGCAUGCCUAUUAUAGUAUGGAGCAACUAAUGGAUAUAGUUUAACAGAUUAUACAUAAAAUAUGGUUCCUCAUAGUAUUUUAUUAUACUAUUUCUUGGAUACAUGUGUAAAUGAAUGGAUUAAUGAUCAUGGCUAUUUAUGUAUCUCUUUUGAGGAUAGGUAAAUAUCUCUUUUGAGGAUAGGUAAAGUGACUCCAUUCGGAGAUUAGCAAGCUAUCAAAUAUGAUAGUUAGAUUAUUCAUAUUUGUGUAUACGAGAGAUAUCACUCUAUCCAUUAUUGGGAAUAUGAUAUGGGUUCUCUCUAUCUACCGUUGAAGUGAAUUCAUCCCAUUGAGUAUGUCUUUCCAUUCGUUAUUGGGAGAGUACACCAUCGAGUGUAAUGUACGUCUUUGUUAUGUAUGUGUUGUAUAUAACUAAUGUAUAUUUUUAUUUAUUACAUAAGAAUUAUCAUUAUUUUUUUGAUGUAUGAUUUUUAAUGAAUCAAUAAAUUAUUAUUUCAUAUUAAAUUAUUGAUAUUUACAUAUGUUUCAUAAAUAUUGAAGAUUAUUUUUAUAAUUUUUUAAAUAUUCCUAGCAUGUGUGAUUAUUGAUAUAUUUUUAUCUUAUAUUUAUUUUCAGAAUAAUCUACUACUUGGUAAUAAAUCUAAGGUUUAGAUUUUAGAGACAUUUUCUUCGCUUUUAGUUUUACCACGAAGAUAGGGACUUGAAUUCAAGGAUGAAAAAAAUAAAGUGUCUUCUGUAAAUUAUGAAUGAUAAAAUAAUAAUUUAAUUUUUUUUAUAAAUAUGAUAUGUGAUAAUUUAAUGAUAUCAUAACAAUGAUUUUGACGAUCUAUUAGAAUAUAAGAUUUUAGGGUUAAAAUAUUAGAUAGGCCAAUUAGUUUUUGAGAUUUAGAUUUUAAAAAUUAUAUAAUAAUACAACUAAAGCAUUUUAAAAAUAUUAAGAUCAUUUUAUUGAGUCAAAUAUUAUUUAUUUAUUUUUUGUAAGAAAAUGAUUAGUUAAAAAUGUUACAUAAAAGAGAAUCUUGAUGGGUGCAAUAGCCAUAUGGGAGUUGGUAGACUUGACUACGCGCACCGACACCUUGUCAAUCAUCUUUUUUUUUUUCCGUAUAUUAUUUUCUAAUUAAAGAAUAGGUCAGUUUCGGAUGGAUCUAUUUGGAUCAUAGCUUAAGUGAAUGAACAUCUUUCGUGUGUGUAUAUAUAUAUAAAGGUAUUUAAAAUAAAUAAAUCGAUUAAUUGAUUAAUCAAACCGAAUUAAUAAGUUUCGAAACGAUUUGAUUAGAUAAAAUUAGAAUUAAUUUUGAUUCAAACUAUCUUAUCUAAAUUGAAUCGAAAAAAACAAUUCGGUUCGGUCCGAUUUGAAUGCAUCUGAUCACCCGGAAACCAGCUGAUAAGAGGAUAAGACCCCGACAUUGUGUUGUCAUCCCCGUCAACGUGGAUAAGCACAUCGAACUAAUGUGCAUCCGCUAGCAAGGAGACUGACGGAACUAAUGUACUAAUUGGGCUCAUUAAAUUAUUUAUUUAUUUAAUCUAAAUUAAUUAUUUUUAUAUAUUGUUUUUCGGCUUAUUAAAGACAUGAGAGAGAGAGAGAGAGAGAGAGAUGAGAGGGUGGCUGAAGUCAAUAGUUUUGUUGCCAAAGCGUUCACGUGGCUACAAAUCAGAAGAACAGAGAACGCGGAGGACGAGAGAGAGAGAGAGAGAGAGAGAGAGAUGAGAGGGUGGUCAAUAGUUUUGUUGCCAAAGCGUUCACGUGGCUACAAAUCAGAAGAACAGAGAACGCGGAGGACGCGUCUCCAUUUUGCUUUCUCUCUUUCCCCGACGAAGAAGGUAGAAGGACCUAGAGACUUCCCUCCCUCACUCCUUAUACUCGAAAACUAUAAAAUCAUCUGAUACCACAUCAUACUUGUCACUGCUUUCUCCACUCCACCCUCUCUCCUUAUCGGUCGAAAUCUGCAAGAUGAAUCCACCAUCAGAGUCUCGCUCAAGUCAUCAGGUUCUUCUCAUCCCUUCUUCCUCUUCUUCUUCUUCUUCUGCAACCAAACCGGAGAAGUUCUCUCUCUCUGAAUCCACCAUCAGAGUCUCGCUCAAGGCCUCAGGUUCUUCUCAUCCCUUCUUCUUCUUCUUCUGCAACCAAACCGGAGAAGUUCUCUCUCUCUCUCUCUCUCUCUCUCACAGAUCUGCUCGCUCUUUCACAAACACCACUCCUCCUCGAUCCUCUUCUUCACUAAUUUGAUGUUUGAUUGUCUCGCAGCAACACGAAACCACUGUUCCUUCCACGACCGAGAUCCAGUUGCGGUCAACGGUCGAUGGCAUAUUUCAGAACUCAUGGGAAGCUGUAAGCACUCAGUUAGUUCCUUCUCAGAAUAAUAUGAAUCAUUGUUUAUUGUGCUACAACAAGAAUUUCUGCUUUUUUUUCCUUGAAUUUCCUGACACAUCUUUUUCUUUUUGGAUCCCCCAAACAAAUUUACAUAUGCAAGAAAUUAAGCUUCUUGGGAAGAUAUGCAACUUCUCAAGACUUGUUUAAGCCUCAAAAUAAAUUUUGAUAAGACAAAGACACGUGCAUUAGUUCUUCUUCUAUUUGCUUGCUAUAAACAACUUCCAACAAUAGGUUUUUCUGUAUCGGAUGGAAACAUGUAUUUAUUCAUUGCGUUGUCUUCUUCAUGUUUAUCCCUCCCUUUAGGUCUUCUAUUUCUUCUUUUCUCAAGAAUCUGAGGAUUUUGAUUUUGUCUAUCUUUGAUUCAGGCAGAAAGAGGUGAAGUUGCAAGAGGUCAUGAAACAUGUAGCUAUGAAUCCAAGUUGAAGCAAAUCCUACAGUUCGCCUUCAUUGAUAUAAUCAUCAGCUUAAUGGCAGUGUUUGCAGUUUUCAUAGCACAGCGAGAUCUGAAAGGCCAUGCAAACGAAUUGCACCUUCUUAUCUGCGGCUUCCUCACCACCUGCAGUCUUCUCUGUGGAGUAACCCUAAUGUUCUUCACCAUCAAUUUGCUAAGUCGCAAGGAUCACAGUGUCCACAGAGGCCAGCAUGUGACCACCGUUUUCCUCCUCGUCCUUUCAUGCGCUCUCCUCAUCCUUACAGCUGCUGGUUUCUCAACUCUCCUCCAUAAACGCUCCAUGUUUCUGGCAGCCCUGCUUCCGGGAUGUUUGCUUCUCGGCACCCUCCUCUACUUCAUAUUCCACGCAGGGGAUGAUCAUGAUCAGAAUUCCACAGGAUAUGCGAGCUAUAAAUCAGAGCUGAAACAUUCGUUGGGUCUCUCAUCCACUGUUGUCUCCCUUGCAUUCAGUGGGCUGAUAACUACUCUUAUUGGGACCGCUAAAAGUCAUUCGGAUCAAGCCCUUACCAUAAACACGAAGAUCUGCAUCUUUCAGAUGUUCUUCGCCGCCAUGUUCGGCCUUCUGUUGAUGCUGCUCAGCUCAGUCCCACCAAGCUUCAAGCAGCAAAGCACCAGGGAGUUCCUUACCAAGCUCCUCAAAGCACUCAGCUACUCUCUGCUGGGCUCAUUGGCACUCAUAGCCGCCACGGCGGCUUCUGCUUUCCUUGACGUCUUCCUUGUACUGGUUCUCCUGCCGACGCCAUUUAUUGGAGUCACUCUUUGGUUCUGCAUAGAGUGGCACAGCACCCAGAAACAGCCGCACGGACCGCGCACUACUACCAACGUUGGUCAUGAUCUCAAGCUCAAACUCAUUUCCAAGGUCGCUACUACCACGACAUCCAUCAGCUUCGGAGGUCUUAUGGGCGCCUUCUCAGGAUUUAUCGGCAGAAAAGGCAGUGAAUUGCAGCUCAAGCUCUGCGUGUUGGUGAUGUUCUUCGCAUUUCUAUCCAGUUUCAGCGUGAAGCUGCUCACUUUCAGGACUCCAAAGCCAGGAACUCUGAUGACAGUAAUCAAAAUCUUAAGCACUUGCUCCGUCUUGUUACUCCUAUUCUUCGCCAUUGUCGUCUUCUUCCUCGAGUUCUUGGGUGGCUAAGCACCACGAAGAAGACUACUUACUAGCUGUCGGGGAAAUAAUGCAUACGGCAGUGGGAUUCGGUCAUAUCCUGAGAGAUCAGAUGGAAUGUGACCUUUGCAUUUGAUUGCAGAGUAAGUUUUUUUUCCUUUUAGAAUAAAGAUAGAGAAUUUGAUUACAGCAUCAGUUGUUGUCUUAAUUGUCUUAAUUGCUCUGUGUGUGCCCACAUGACUUCCAGAGACUUGUAGGGUUCAUAGAGAUGUGGUCCAUAUGUUUGAACUUUGGUUUGGCCGGCUCUGUAAAAAUUCGAUUUUAAUUAAAUAUCUUCUAUUAUCUCUCUUUUUCCAUAUUCAUCCUUUAGUUCUUUUAUUUUUUAUAUUAUUAUUAUACUGUCGAUCAAUGUCUGUAGCCUCUUUCACAUCCUAAGCAUUAUCUUUUAUUUGGAGAUGGAUUUGUAAUAGUGUGUGCUCAUGUUCUUCCUCUACCAACCUUUCAUAAUGUCUAUUUUGUGUAUCACAUUAAUAUCUUUAGGCUUUUCAUACCCUUCUCUUGCCACCUCUCUCCACUCGUUUCACUGGUCGCUUACAGUACAUGCCCUAGAAAAAAAAGGCUCAUACUCCAAAACUACAUGGAUUUUCCAUCUUUCUACAAUAUUUACAAACAGAUCGGUUCCAUAGAAUGUGUUCCUGAUGAAUAUAUGCAUCGAUAAAGCAUGAGAUUGCAAGAAUCUGAUGGAAAAUAUGUUAGGUUUCUGAUUGAAAGGUGCCUAUUACGGUGGUAUGUUUCAGAAAAAUGGUUACUUACUAGCAAAACCUGUGGAUGACAGUGCUAUCGAGAUGGAAAGGCAGAAGCGAAAGCAUAAGAUGCUAACCUCGAAGUCCGGAAGAAGUCUAUCGGAGCAGUUCAUGUGGAAGAUGGACGACAGUUCCCUCAGUAUAUCUGCAGAAAAGUAAGAAGAUCAGCUGCUGUCCCUAUGACUAUCCUGCGAGCUGUACUAGUGAAAUUAUUUGCAUAGAAGAUCUGAUUAGGGGAAAUGAAACUCGAGCGAGGGAGUCUGACCUGAAAGAUGAUGAUGAUGAUACAGUGAUGGUGAGAGCAGUUCUUACCAGAUCUAAGAUGAGUUUUGAGUACUGCUUGCAACCAUGGCUAAAUCCAACGAGCAAUGCAAAUGAUGUGUAAGGACAGAAGAUGCUCGUCUCAACUUGAUGUAAUGUAUUAUUUCCCUUCUCCAAGCUGUUUAGGUGCAUCUGCAUUCGGGCUGGAUUAAGAAUUUUCUAUUACCCAUAGUUCAUAAUUAAAGACUGUGCACUAUAUUAUUUUAUAUAUCAGUUGGUUAGUUUAGCUCUUUCUGUCAGUAGUUCACAGGAACUAAAACUACUUUCUCUCACUAGUAGGAACUCGGAAAAAUGAUCCCUACUCCAUCACAGCUAAGGAGGAAGGAGUGACAACAUACCAGAAAAGAGAUGAUCCAAAAUUCAUAAAAGCAUUUAAAAUUCACAAGAGCAGGGAAAGCAGACGCCACCUCUGCUUGUGCCUCAAGGAUCACUUGUUUCGUAUUGGUGCAGCCGCUUAGCUUCGGAAUCUUUGACGAUGCAAGUCGAAGGACCGACGAGACGACAGUGAGAAAUCGUCAGCUGUCGAAGGCAAGGAAGCAGAUCUUCCGGAACGACUUCUUUCCAUUUGAUAUCGACGAGUGUUUCAGAUUGGACAGUUGGAUCGUCUCUAACUGAUCUUGGCUCCAUUUGCGGCGCCGAUGACUCUGCUCCUCCUGGUCGGUAUGCCCCAACUCCAAUUUCACCACGCUAUAGCCGUGCGAGAUUACCAGCCCGCCACAAGGAGCUGUCGUGAUCAGCAGGCCACAAGAAGCAACUUCGGAAACACUUCUUCUUCCUGUCCGCCGCAAAUCUAUCUUCUGCUUCGUGUCCACGGCACUAGCACGCACAAGUUUAUUCUCGGAUACGAGGAAUGGUGGGAGAUUAUUCUCAUAUAUGUUGGAACUUUAUAGAAUUCCACAUUAAACUAAAAUCUUCAGAGGAAAGCAAGACGAUGCGAGGGCAGGAAAUCGAAAGAAAUGGUUUUAGGAAGGGUCUAUUAGUCUUUGUUCCGAAACUUGUCGAAUUCUAACAAGAUAAUGUCGUGUCCAUUAUUGUUUGACAUGACAGGUCUCACUCACAUCCUUUUCGAAAGCCACUACUCUAUCAUAAUCUCCUCCAAUGGGCAAGUGGUUCUCAGCUGCCAUCAAAUCAUCCUCUUCUCCUUGGUGUCCACGGCACUACCACGCGGAAGUUUCCACCGCAGUUUCUUUGCUCAUGGUUUGACAAUCGCGAAAGGAAGACAGACAUGCCUUAAAAGUCUACAACAAAUUGAAUGUGUGCGUGAAAGAGUCAGAGAGAGAGAGAGAGGGAGAGAGAGAGAGAUGGAAUAUAGUCGCGAGGAGAGCUUGAGAGAUGGAAAGGAAGCUUAGAUUUCAUUGAGGAUGACGAAUGAGAGAGAGAGAGAGAGAGAGAGAGAGAGAGAUG
rnacentral:lncRNA from 1 species